GACGAACGCUGGCGGCGUGCUUAACACAUGCAAGUCGAACGGAAAGGCCCUGCUUUUGUGGGGUGCUCGAGUGGCGAACGGGUGAGUAACACGUGAGUAACCUGCCCUUGACUUUGGGAUAACUUCAGGAAACUGGGGCUAAUACCGGAUAGGAGCUCCUGCUGCAUGGUGGGGGUUGGAAAGUUUCGGCGGUUGGGGAUGGACUCGCGGCUUAUCAGCUUGUUGGUGGGGUAGUGGCUUACCAAGGCUUUGACGGGUAGCCGGCCUGAGAGGGUGACCGGCCACAUUGGGACUGAGAUACGGCCCAGACUCCUACGGGAGGCAGCAGUGGGGAAUAUUGCACAAUGGGCGGAAGCAUGAUGCAGCAACGCAGCGUGCGGGAUGACGGCCUUCGGGUUGUAAACCGCUUUCGCAUGUGACGAAGCGUGAGUGACGGUAAUGGGUAAAGAAGCACCGGCUAACUACGUG
rnacentral:rRNA from 1 species